ensembl:misc_RNA Metazoa_SRP Metazoan signal recognition particle RNA
GCCGGGCGCGGUGGCGCGUGCCUGUAGUCCCAGCUACUCGGGAGGCUGAGGUGGGAGGAUUGCUUGAGCCCAGGAGUUCUGGGCUGCAAUGCGCUAUGCCGGUUGGGUGUCUGCACUAAGUUUGGCAUCAAUAUGGGGACCUCCUGGGAGCAGGGGACCACCAGGUUGCCUAAGGAGGGGUGAACCGGUCCAGGUCGGAAACAGAGCAGGUCAAAACUCCCAUGCUGAUCAGUAGUGGGAUCGCGCCCGUGAAUACCACUGCACUCCAGCCCGGGCAACAUAGCGAGACCCCGUCUCU